GACGAACGCUGGCGGCGUGCUUAACACAUGCAAGUCGAACGGAAAGGCCCUGCUUUUGUGGGGUGCUCGAGUGGCGAACGGGUGAGUAACACGUGAGUAACCUGCCCUUGACUUUGGGAUAACUUCAGGAAACUGGGGCUAAUACCGGAUAGGAGCUCCUGCUGCAUGGUGGGGGUUGGAAAGUUUCGGCGGUUGGGGAUGGACUCGCGGCUUAUCAGCUUGUUGGUGGGGUAGUGGCUUACCAAGGCUUUGACGGGUAGCCGGCCUGAGAGGGUGACCGGCCACAUUGGGACUGAGAUACGGCCCAGACUCCUACGGGAGGCAGCAGUGGGGAAUAUUGCACAAUGGGCGGAAGCCUGAUGCAGCAACGCCGCGUGCGGGAUGACGGCCUUCGGGUUGUAAACCGCUUUCGCUUGUGACGAAGCGUGAGUGACGGUAAUGGGGAAAGAAGCACCGGCUAACUACGG
rnacentral:rRNA from 1 species